rnacentral:lncRNA from 1 species
UAGCAUGAAACAUUUUUAAAACAAGGUUGAGAUUUAUAUUUUUAGGGGAAUAAACAACACUAUAAUCUGCAGAGAAAAAAAGAAAAUCAUAAUCACAAGGUAAAUCUACCACAACUGCACAUUCACCAGGUAACAAAUCUAAAGAAAUAAAUAUAACUAAACACUGCAGUUCAAUGGUUGAUUUCUUACCAUAAAACAUUCAAAAACAGGGUUCAGAUUUAUAGGGGAAUAAAACAGGGCAAUAAACUAAAAAAUAUAUCUUAUAAUCAACAGGCAAAUCUACUACAAUUGCACGCAUACCACGUUACAAAUUAGAAGAAAUAAAUCUUUGACUAACUAAACACUAACGUCCAAGCACAAAUAGGGAAGGAGAAGUAGCCAUAGUCAUCCUUACCUGGUGGAUGAGCUUUGUGCAGUAGGAGAGAAGGGGAACGAGGGAUGACCCUGUGCAGCCGCUACGGCCGCGGAACCCUGGGUGACUAGCCGCGAGGACGCGGUGGUGGCCUUUGUCGUCCGCGUCACCUGCACCAAGGCGGCUAGCGCCGCCCUUGCGCCAGGGUCCAGCCGAUCCAAGAUGGCCGGUGACACAGAGGACGGAACCCUAGGUCGGCGAUGCUGCUGCAGAGUUUGCCGGACAUCCAGGUUGAGGCGCCGUUCCGGGAGAGGCCGCAGAGAGGGAGAGGGAGAGGGAGAGGGAGAGGGAGGAAGUGGAGGAGGAGAUGCAGGAGGAGGACGCCGGUGCACCGCCUGCGCAGGGCCGUCGAUCUGGUCGCCGCCGCCUAGGCAGAGACGAGCGCCAAGCGAUGCAGGAGAGGGCGCCGUGGCCCUACCGUGUAGAUCAGGU